rnacentral:rRNA from 1 species
UACGUAGGGUGCGAGCGUUAAUCGGAAUUACUGGGCGUAAAGCGUGCGCAGGCGGUUCGUCGUGUCCGAUGUGAAAGCCCCGGGCUCAACCUGGGAAUGGCAUUGGAAACUGGCGGACUCGAGUGUGGCAGAGGGGGGUGGAAUUCCGCGUGUAGCAGUGAAAUGCGUAGAGAUGCGGAGGAACACCGAUGGCGAAGGCAGCCCCCUGGGCUAACACUGGACGCUCAGGCACGAAAGCGUGGGGAGCAAACGAGGAUUAGAAACCCGUA